UGGUGCGACCAUACCAGCACUAACGCACCGGAUCCCAUCAGAACUCCGAAGUUAAGCGUGCUUGGGCGAGAGUAGUACUAGGAUGGGUGACCCCCUGGGAAGUCCUCGUGUUGCACCCC
rnacentral:rRNA from 1 species